GACUUGCCAACCCUCGCCCUGUUCCUGAGCCGGGGAGACCCAGGAGCCUGUGAAAGCCGCACUCUGGAGAUGCUGGAAAAUGUCCCUCGAGCCCAGCUGGCACCUCCCUGUUGGCACCUGACUCCGACUGGCACGGGAUUCCCGCAUUCCUUCUCCCUGGGAAGGAGAACCCUCCAGGCUUGCAGUUAGAGACGGGCAAGCUGGCUUCCCCGCUCGGCCGCUCAGUAGCUGUGUGGCUCCAGCCAGGUCACCACACCUCUCUGUUUGUUGCUGUGAACUAUGAGAGUAAUGCCGCCCUGCCGCCCCAGAGGCUCGUGGCGAACCAGCUACAUAAAACAAGGCCGGGUAGGGAGGUGUGAGGCUCACGGGUUGGCAUCACAGACUCUAGAUCAACUUCGAGUCCUGGGUUCAAAUCCUGGCUUCCCCACUACGAGCCACAGCUGCUUCGGGCCGACUGUAAUUGGCCUGCCUCAGUGUCCUUGUUAGGAUGACAAAGUGAAUGGAUGCAUUUAUAACAGAGCAGUGGCCAAAUAAUGCUGAUGUCCAGGAGCUAGCCCAGCCGAGCAGUGUCUGGCUUUAGCUGUGACCCAAUGACACUCCCUGAACAAACGAUUAAGUAUGGGGAUGAGGAGAAAGCACAAUGUCAGCUCGAAGGAUCUGAGCUUCAAGUCAGACAGAACUGGAUUCAAAUCUGGAUGUCUCCAUCCCAACCAUUUCCACUCCCUGUCGAGUGGAAGACUCUUGAGGGCAGGAUCCUUCUCUGAUUCAUUUCUGACCCCAGCACC